UUGAGGUGCUGUCCGGCUGUUCAGCCAUUUAGGGCUUCAGCAUCGCCUGGUGGCAUCGAUGUGACCAAGCGGAAAAGCGGGAGGAGAGGCGUUGGCCCGUUUCUCAGAGGCGUCUGUGAGGCCCCCUGAGCCCGUCCCGCCCCGCCCGCCGCCUCUCCCGGCUCCGUUCUUCUCACAGCCGGUGACCGAGGCCGCGCGGAUGAGGCCGGCUCAGAGCCUUGUGGUCUUUGAGGAUGUGGCCAUAUAUUUCUCCCAGGAGGAGUGGGGACUCCUUGAUAAGGCUCAGAGACUCCUGUACCGUCAUGUGAUGCUGCAGAACAUUGCACUUUUGUCCUCCUUAGGUUGUCAGCACAGUGCCCAUGAUGAGGAGGCCCUUUCAGAGCAAGAUGAUGCAGUUAGAGAGUCACAGGUCAAGACUCCAAAGCCAGGUCCAUCCAUCCAGAAGUCUCAUUCUUGUGAGAUGUGUGGCCCACUCUUGAAAGACAUUUUGCACCUGGCUGAGCACAAUGGGACACACCCUGAGCCAGAAGUGUCUGUGUGUGUGGUGAGGCUUUCCCAGCACCAAAAGGAGCUGAGUCGAAAGAAACUCCCCGGAUGGAAUGAAGGGAGGACUUCAUUUGUGAAGAACUACAGCAUUCAUGUGACAGAGAAGACCUUGACAUGCAGGGAGGGAGGGAAGGACUUUCUGGCCAGUUCAGGCCUUCUCCAGCACAAGGCCCCUCAUGUAGGAGGGAAGCCACACAGUGACACAGAGGGCAGGGCAACCUUUGUAAGUGGACAGAGUGAUUACAAGUGCAGUGAAAAUGGGAAAACCUUUAGCCACGAACGCAUACUUGUUGAACAGCAGAAAAACCAUUGCACUGAAAGCGGGAAGACCUUCAGAAGGUUCCACCUGGUUCAACACCAACCAAUACAUACUGAAACUAGGCUAUAUGGGCACCUUAGAUGUGGAAGAUUCUUUACACAAAGGUCUGGCUACAUUGAACAGCAGAGAGUUCACACUAAGCCAACGCCUUAUGAGUGUAGCCAUUGUGGGAAGUGCGUUAAAGACAGCUCCAGACUCACUAUUCAUCAGAGAGUUCACACUGGAGAAAAGCCUUAUAAAUGCAGUGAAUGUGGGAAAUUCUUCAGGUACAGCUUCACAUUCAAAAGACAUCAGAGAGUUCACAUUGGAGAAAGGCCAUAUGAGUGCAGCGUGUGCGGGAAAUUUUUUGUAGACAGCGCCACGCUCAUUAUUCAUCAGAGAGUUCACACUAGGGGAAGGCGUUUUGAAUGCAGCAAAUGUGGAAAAUUCUUUAGGUACCACUUCACACUUGAGAGGCAUCAGAAAGCUCACACUGGAGAAAGGCCUUAUGAGUGCAGUGUAUGUGGGAAACUCUUUAGGCACAACUCAAAUCACAUUAGGCAUCGGAGAAAUCACACAGGUGAAAGGCCUUAUGAGUGCAAUGUAUGUGGUAGACUCUUCAGCCAAAAUUCUCACCUCAUUCGGCACCAAAAUGUUCACACCAGAGAAAAAACUUAUGAAUGUAGCAAAUGUGGGAAAUUCUUUAUGGACAGCUCCACCCUCAUUAUUCAUCAGAGAGUCCACACUGGGGAAAAACCUUAUGAGUGCAGUAAAUGUGGGAAGGUCUUCAGAUAUAACUCCAGCCUCAUUAAACAUCGCAGAGUUCACACUGGGGAAAGGCCUUAUGAAUGCAUCAACUGUGGGAGAGGCUUUAGCCAAAACUCCCACCUCAUUAGGCACCAAGAAGUACACACUAAAGAGUAUUGCAAACAGGGAAAGACUUCAGAGAAGAGUGUGGUCUGAUUUAGUACUGGAAAGCACUGCUAUGGAAGUGUUUAAAAGUUUUUUAAUUGUGGUUAAAUACACAUAACAUAGAAUUUACUAUCUUAGCCAUAUUUAAAUGUAAGUUCAUCAGUAAUAAUACAUUCACAUUUUGUGCAAACAAACAUUCAGAAGUCUUUUUAUCACAUAAAACUGAAACUAAACCCAUUAGACUCCUUAUCCCCCCUCUCUUAUCGCCUAACAACAACUAUUCUAAUUUCUGUCUAUGAAUUUGUCCGCUCUGGGUACCUUAUGUAAGAGCCAUAAAGUUUUUCUCCUUUUGUGUCUGGCUUAUUUCACUGAAGAUAAUGUCCUCAGGGUUCAUCUACAUCCUAGCAUGUGUCAGAAUUUCCUUCCUUUUUGAGUAAUACUCCAACUUAUGUAUAAUACUGAUGAUGUAUCCCAUCAUCAGUGGGCUCUUGGGUUACUUUCAUUGUUUGGCUACUGCACAUAAUGCUGUCAUAAGCAUGAUUGCACAAAUAUUUAUUUGAGGCCCUACUUUUAGUACUUAUUAGGUAUAUUCCCAGACGAGAAUUGUUGGAUAAUGUGGUAAUUCAAUAUUUAAAUUUUUUGAGGAACUGAGGGGCUGUUUUCCAUAGUAGUUGUACCAUUUUACACCAGUACAGCUUAAAGUUUCCAAUUUCUCUGUGCUUUCAGCAACACUUUUUAUUUUUUCUUGUUUUCUUUUUUCAGAAUACUAUCCUAAGGGAUAUAAGGUGAUUAUUUCAUUGUGGUUUUGAUUUGCAUUUAAUGUUGUUGAACAUUUUUUCAUCUGCUUGUUGGCUGUUUAUAUUUGUCCUUUGGGAAAAUGUCUCUUCCAAUCCUUAACCCAUUUUUUAAUGGGGUUAUUAUUGUUGUUAUUUAGAUGUUGAAGUUCUUUAUAUGUUCUGUGUAGUGACUCCUUAUCUGAUAAAUAAUUUGCAAAUAUUUUCUUCCAUUUUAAGGAUUGUCGUUUCACUCUCCAUUUAGUUCUUUUUUGCACAGAAAUUUUAAAUUUCAGUAUAGUCCAAUUUAUUUCUGUUAUUAUUGCUUAUCUUUGGUAUCAUGUCCAAGAAAUUAUUGCCAGUGUCAUGAAGCAUUUUUCCUGUUUUCUUCUAAGAGUAUUACACUUUUAAGUCUUAAUAUUUGGGUCUUUCAUUCGAGUUCAUUUAUAUAUAUCAUGUUAGGUAAAGGUUCAACUUCAUUCUUUUGCAUGUGGUUGUCUAGUUUUUCGACGCUAUCUGCUGAAAAAACUCAUUUCUCUUUGAAUGGUCUCUGCACCCUUUUAAAACUUCUGAGCAUGUGUUUGAGGGUUUGUUUCUGUGCUCUUUAUUCCAUUAUCCUCUAUGUAUGUCUGUGUCAAUACCACAGCAUUUUGAUAUAUACAUUUAAAUUUUUGAAAUAGUGGUUUGACUCAGUUUUGAAGCCCUGGCAAGAGGACUGUCGGUUCCCCUUCUAGAACAGCUGAUGAAGCCCACACCCCCAAUCACUUCCCUUAUUAGUCUCCCAUACCCUGGACUACCAUAAACCAAGGUGUCAGACAUUUAGUGAUAGCUCCUAUGUUCCAGAACCCAUACAGUUAUUCAGAAUAGCCAGUCAACAGAGAGCUCAUGAAACCUAGCUAAUCCCAUUACUCUUGCCACACAUAAGCUGCCCAUCACAGCUCCAGCUUGCUGUUAUCGUGGCCCUGGGCUCUGUGUUACCCUGUCUAACAUCUUUAUCUCAUUCUGAGCUGUAAGUAACAAGCAGUCUUUCAUGUAUCCCAGUAUCAUCGUGUGGUAGGUUCCACCAUCAAGAACCUUUCAGUCUUACAGAGCAGCUCCACACGCAGAAGGGUAUUAUGAGCACAGCAAAUGUUGGAAAGUCUUCAGCGAUUAGUCUGUCUCCACUCAGCACUAAGAAGUUCACACUAGAGAAAGACAUUACAUGCGCAGCCACUGAGCUCUUUCCUUUUUAAUAUAAUAACAGAUCAAAGCUCUGGACAUUAACACCUGUGAGAAAGAUAUCCCCCGGAAACUGCAUCUCAUACAUCCAGGCAUCCUUACUAGGGAGAUUUGUAGUUAGGGCCAGGUACAUGGGAAGUUUUGGUGAACUCUCACACUUUCAGACCUACCUGGGGCUGUAACUAGAGUUCUCUCACAACACAAAAAACGUUUGUAACUAUGAGGGCAACGUGAAGUAGACUUACUGUGAUCAUUUUGCAAUAUAUACAAAUUCUGAACCAUUAUGUUGUGCAUGUGAAACUAAUACAUACUAUCUGUUAAUUAUAUCUCAAUUUUAGGAACUCCCUGGCUGUCCAAUAGAUAGGGCUCCACGCUUCCACUGCAGGGGGCACGGGUUCCAUGCAGCCAAAAGGAAAAAAGAAUUAUAUCUCAAUUUUGUUAAAAAGCAGGGAGAACAGAUUGCUGUGCUCUCUUGCUUUAUCUAGAGUAUUCGCCAGCUACUUGUGCCCUUUGGUGAGACCUCAUACCCCACCCCCUUGAUUUGUUUGGGUGUGAACAUCACCCAGCUUGGACAGAGGACUGGAUCUGGCUUUAGCUGGCAGUUUUCAGAGGUUUCCCUUGUUCAGGGUUGUUAUUGUCUCCUGAUAUUCUUGGCAGAUUUUUCCAGCCUGCAUUUUACCCAGCCUAGGAACUCUUGGCUCACCUUGCUGGUUUUUGCAGUAAUGGUCUUACUGGUUUUUUGUUUUAUUUUGUUUUUUGAGUAUAGUUGAUUUACAAAGUUGUGUUAAUUACUGCUGUAGAGCAAAGUGAUUCACAUAUAUAUAUAUUUAAACACUCUUUUCCAUUAUGGUUUAUCAUAAGAUAUUGAAUAUAGUUCUCUGUGCUAUGCAGUAGGAUGUUUUUCCAUUCUGUAUAUAAAAGAUUACAUCUGCUAACCCCAACCUCCCAUUCCAUCUUAUUGUUUAAGCUACAUUUACUCUUGGGAUUCCGUUUACUGUAUGCUGUGGGAGAGAAUAGAAUUGGGCUUUGCCAGAAUGAAAUAUACAGAGUUCUGGGGCUCUCAAGUCUGUGUACUCCAAAGGAAAUAGCAGGAGGACAAACAAUUCUCAGUGUAGAUUUGGCCUAAUUGUAUUAUUGCCUGAGGCCUCCUAGGAAAGUCUGAAAGACCCCUGCACCUUGAUCUCAUGCCCUGGAUCUGAAGAUUAUUUGUGGAUCCACAGUCACAUGGGGCAGGUGGUUUGCAAACAACAGUAUUUGGUAGUACCACGAAUUUGGGCCCUUGAAUUUAGUUGCUCUCCCAUGUCUUCUGAUAUUUUUGACAGGUUGCAAUAUAUACUGACAGCUGUCUCCUGAGACCCACCUAGGAGUUGUGUGUCCUGAGGGAAAAAAUCAUGUAGGUAUAUGUGCAUGGACCUAAGGCUUAACAAGGCCCAGGGCUGGGAACAUAUUCUGUACAGAAACAGUGAUUGGAUUAAUUGCAGCUGAGGGAGACUGCAGCAAAGUAGAGUGUAUAAGCCCCUUUUAAAGGGGUAGCUGUACAUGUUCCAGUAACUGGCCAAGUGAGAAGAGAAUGUACAGAUCUCCGACCUACAGUCCAGUCCACAGUAAUCUGGGUGCAUCCCCUUUAAGAAGCCUGAAACCCCACCCCCGCCUCAGAGCCUUAGGAUACUCCAACUCUCACUUUGGGGCGGGGCCUUUGCUGGAGGUUGGGGCACCGCCCCCUGCCUGGGGCUCUAUGAACUGUAUUUCCAGGAAGGCACAGCGCCGCGCCACGGGGCACUGGACCAAUGAAGGCUCAGUGGGGAGGCACUUCCGUUCUAGAGGGACAGCGUCUGGGCGGGCUUUGCGCUGUGGACCGAGGGCGACAUUUUGUAAACUCGAAUGUGUUAACUUCUGGGGAGCUUCAGAAUACUGGGCCUUUUGGAAGGAAAGGAGCCGGAAAGCUGCUGUGCCCGCUGCUCUGAGGAGGGUCUGAGGCUUGGCGUGGGCGCCAUCCGGCCUGACGCUUCCUCGGGCCGGGACAGGGGCAGCCGUGCCCGGGUCCCUGUUCGCCCACAGACGCCUUUGGCAGCGGCGGAACUGAAGCGUCCAGUUCGGGUUCCACAUUCAGCAGAACCACUUAUGGACCCUGCACUGGCUAUCCCUGGCUGCAGUGUGCAGAACAGACUGGGGAAGAGGAAGACAAGGAGCACAUCAAAGAGGCUAUUAUAGUCAUCCUGAUGACUAUUAGUUGUGGCUGGACCAGAGCAGUGGAUGUGAAGGUAGGAGAAAUACUUGUGGAUUCUGGGUUUGUUUUUAAAGUAGGGGCUGACCAGAUUUUCUAAUGUGGAGGGGAUCACAGAUGCCUGCAAAGUUUUUUCCCUUUGCAUCUGGAAGGGUGGAAGUGCCAUCAACUGAGAUGGGGAGGUCAGUGGUAGGAGUCCUUUUCACUGAGACUAUUAGGAGUUGGGUUUUGGCCAUUUUGAUUCUCAGAUGUUCCAGUGACUCCCAAGUAUAGGAGGGAAGUGGGGCUUCCCUGGUGGUGCAGUGGUUAAGAAUCUGCCUGCCAAUGCAGGGGACAUGGGUUCGAGCCCUGAUGCAGGAAGAUCCCACAUGCUGUGAAGCAAUUAAGCCCGUGUGCCACAACUACUGAGCCUGCACUCUAGAGCCCUUGAGCCACAACUACUGAAGCCCACGCCCAUAGAGCCUGUGCUCUGAAACAAGAGAAGCCACCUCAAUAAGAAGCCCAUGCACUGCAAUGAAGAGUGGCCCCCGCUCUCCACAACUACAGAAAGCCUGUGCACAGCAACGAAGACCCAAUGCAGCCAAUAAAUUAAAAAUCUUAAAAAAAAAAAGAGAGAAGUGGAUGGCUGAACAUGCAGAUCUAGAGUGCUUGGGAGGCUUCAGGAUGCCAUCAGGGGACAAAGGAGGGGAGACGGGGCUGUCACAAAGACAGACAAGAGGAAUGGUCAUCAGCAGGCAGGUGGGGGAAGGGAAAGUUCAUCAGGUGGCCCAGGUUUUCAUGGGGGAGUGGCCAUGAAAUUGAUGCAGAGUGAAGGCAGAAAUGGAGGUGACAUGACAGCAAAGUCAGGCUGGUGCUUAUUUCUCCUCCUGUGCACUCACCAGGCUUUUGUGGUGGAACUUGGGGAGUUUCUGACAGAAUGUCAGAUGAGUUUGCCAAAGGCGUGUCAGUAGGGGUGGAUUUUGAAUGGGUGUUAUAUAAACAAAGAUUGUAACUGUUGAAGAGACAUAGUGUGGAAUACAGAAGAGGAACCUGACAAGGGGUAUUUAGAUCUGCAUGUUGUGACUGAAGUUAAAGGAAGGAACAAGGCCUGGUGGGGAAGCCUUUAGAACAGCUGCCAGUGGAGAGCUGGGGUACAGUGGCAUCGUGUUGCAUUGGGAAGCACUUUCUGAUGCCAUGUGCAGAGGGUAUGUGAGUAGACAGGAGACAUGCCAAAUUUGUGGGCCUAGUGGUGGCGGUGGGAAUCAGAUGUAUGAGGAGUUAACCAGUGAGUUAUAUGCAUGUGGGGAAGGUGUGUGAAGUAACUCCCGAGGCCCUGGUACUAAGAGCGUAAGAGAGGAGGAUGGGACUAAGUUUGUGUCUGGGAAACGAGAUCCUGGAGACGCUCAGGCUGCUGUCUUGCAGGAGAGGGAGGGGGCCCUGCAUAUCAGGCCCACAGCUUAAAUGGCAUCUGUCCACCUGCCUGUUGUUGAUGAGAGUGGACCUAGUGAUCAAUGAAGCAUGAAGAGUUCUUGGGUAUCAUCCCCCUCUGAGUUAGGGCACUGUGGAGGAUGAUGAACCCACAGUGAGUAUGGGCUGGGGUUAGGGGUACUUAUGGGAUCCUGGGGAGAGAGGCUGCUUAUGGACACAUCUGUCCCCAUCAUCACAGGGCUCUGUGACCUUUGAGGAUCUGGCUGUGUAUUUUUCCCAGGAGGAAUAGAGGCUUCUUGAUGAGGCCCAGAGACUCUUAUACCGUGAUGUCAUGCUGGAGAUGUUUGCACUUGUUGCCUCAUUGGGUAAGGCCCUCACACCUUUCCCAGCAUCCUGGGUAGGUGUCUGCCUUUCCCUUUUUUCCAAGGGCAGCUCUGUUCUUUUCACAGCUAGACAGUGGGCACGUCUCUUACUGCUUCCCUGUCAUCUGUGCUAUUGGUAUCAAGGCUGAGUGUGUAGCCCCAAUACCAGCUGCACUAAAGUUUUUCCAGUGAAGGUUUUCUGGGUCAUAAGACUUGGAAUUGGUUCAGUGGGUUCCAUUAGUCUCAGAGACUCCCUGCGAAGUUGACUCUGUGGACCCCUGCACCUCUGUGCUGCAGGUUCUUCCCCCUUCCAGCUGACAUUUCCUGGGCUCUUGACUAUACCAGGAAUUGUGGGAUCUAACAUGAAUGCUAUUUGUGGGGUCCACCUGGCUAUUUCUGGGAGACCCGCCUCAAAUUUGGGAUUGAUUGUCCGCCUGGGCUAGUACAGACCACUCACCUAUCCUGUCUUUCCCUUAGGACUUGCAUUUUCUAGGUCCCAUGUUGUUGUCCAGCUGGAGCUGGGAGGAGAACCCUGGGUACAUGGUAGAGUGACCAUGACUCCGGGCACAGCAUGAGGGGCUCAAAGUGGGCCUGGCUCUGGUGACUGGCGUCAGGAGGAGCACGUGAUAUCAUGAAUGGAUUCAGAUUAUAACAGGAACAUGUCCUGUGCCCAACAAUACUGUUUUGGGGCCAAGGGCGUUGACUGUGUAUCUCAUUUCUGUCUUUUCUGCACAUUCUUGACACUGUGCUCCUUCUGUCAUAUCUAUUCUAACUUCAAACCCAGGAUCAUCCCUCACCUCUUUCUUCUACUCCUCAUUGGUCCUCCCCAUCCUCACUCUGAUGUGCUUUCCAAUACUGGCAUACACUUAACAUGUCAUGAGGUCUGCACCUAUCCUUAAGAUAGGUUUGAACACCUGCUACUCAGUGACAGUCGGCCUGGGCCUCGACACACCUUUCCACACAGCGCCGAGACCAGCUCGGCGACUCGAGCACACACGUGUCACCAGCAGCCUGGGCCCUGGUGAAAACUGCUCCUGGAGGAGUGAGUUGUGGACCACAGCUCCUCCGUGUGCUCCACCCCAUCCUUGUGUCUUGUCUGGUUGUUGGUGUGAAGCAGAGGACAAGGAAACACCUUCUGAGCAGAAUGUUUCUGUAGAAGUGCCACAAAUAAAUACUUCAAAGGCAGAAUACAGAAGAGAGGGAGGCAGCAUCUUCCUUGAGGUUUUCUUUCCAAAGAGUUUGCGCAAACAUCUUAAAAAAACAAAAACAAAAAACACUCCUUGGUUCUGAUGGAAGAAAGAGUUCGCCUAUUGAGGAGCGGAGAAGCCCUAGUGGGCUAGAGGCCGAGGCCGAGGCCGAACCCAUCAUCGCCGGGGCAAAAUUAACGUCGCCUGUGUCGGAGCCCACCCGCAGCCCCCGGCCCUCCUCCCCGACCCUGGGGCCGCAGGGGCAGAGGCGGUGAGGCUCACCCUCCUGGUUCUCCCGCGGGCGGCGCCUGGCCAUCCGGCCUCAGGCUCGGAACCCGGGAAAAUCCCACAUAGGUGCUUCCGCAGACCGGGCCCCACGCGAGCCCUCGGCCGAACCCCUCACGCCCUCCUCAGGCCUCUCCACCCAGCCUGGUUCCCACCUCCGGACCCGGGAGACCCCCUCCCGCUCCCCGCGGCAGCCGGAGGGGCCCCGGCGGAGGCUGGUCGCUCCCUCCGCCCCACACCCGGGCCGGGAGCGCGGCUCCGGCCUCCGCCCCUUGAGUCUGCAGGUACAACCUCCAAAGAGAGCACGAGGUGCACCCUCCCGGCAGGACCCACGACCCGGACGAUCCUGCCAGCCCUGCCGACCUCCCGGAACUCGGCCUCCUGCACUGCUGCUGAAGCCCUUCAUCUGCAGACGUUCCCCGAGCUCCGUAGGGAAGAAGAGAUACAAGAGGGCCGUCAUCUGCAAACCAAGCAGGCCCAGGGGAACCCGGCCUGACAGCAUCUUGAUCUUGGACUUCCGGCCUCCAGAACUAUGAGAAUAUGUAUCUGUUGUUUAGGCCACCCCAUCUGUGGUAUUUUAUGAUGACAGCCCUAGCAAACUAAUACAAUUACCAAUUCACUUAUGCAUGAGUAUUUGCAUAUUUUUGCCUAGUUAUUGACUUGCAUCAAUAAAGCUGGUGUUGCUGUGAAGAUUAGAGUACAAGCAUUUCUGUGGACACAUUUUUAUUCCUCUUGGAGGUAUACCUACACAUUAGAUGGCUGUGUUACAUAAGUGCAUCUGUAAUUUUACAGAAAUUACCAGUUUUCUAAAGUGGGUUUUAUCAUUUUGCAUUCCAACAGUAAUGUAUGGGAGUUCUGUUUCACAACUUCACCGACUUGGCAUUGCUGUGUCUUACUGUGGUCUUCAUUUGUAUUUCCCUAGUGAUUAAUGUUGAACAUAGUUUCCUAUACUUAUUAUUCAUAUAUCUUCUUUGGUGAAAUAUGUAUUCAAAAUUUUUAAUUAAAAAUUGUUUUUUCUUGUUGUAAAUGUUAUGUUAAAAUUCUGGACAUCAGUUAUUAAUCAGAUGUACUUUCCAAAUCAGAUGUACUUUGGCUUGUACUUUAAACUUUUUUUUUUUUUGGCUGUGCCCUGUGGCUUGCGGGCUCUUAAUUCCCCAACUAGACCAGGGAUUGAACCCAGGCCACCACAGUGAAAACACCAAGUCUUUACCACUGGACCACCAGGGCAUUCCCUAAACUUUCUUAAAUGUCUUUUAAGUAGCAAAGAUUUUUAAUUUUGAGUAAGUCUCAAUUUAUCAUUUUAUUCAGGUUUUGAUUUUUAUGUCUGGUAAAAAAAAAAAAUCUUUGUCUAACCCAUAUUCAAAGAGUGCUCAUCGGACUUCCUAGGUGGCACAGUGGUAAAGAAUCUGCCUGCCAAUGCAGGGACAUGGGUUCGAGCCCUGCUCUGGAAAGAUUCCACAUGCCACAGAGCAACUAAGCCUGUGCGCCACAACUAUUGAGCCUGUGCUCUAGAGCCCAUGAGCCACAACUAUUGAAACCCAUGCACCUAGGGCCCAUGCUGCACAACAAGAGAAGCCACUACAAUGAGGAGCCUGCGCACACAAUGAAGAAUAGCUCCCACUUGCAGCAACUAGAGAACGCCUGUGUGCAGCAACAAAGACCCAAUGCAGCCAAUAAAUAAAACAAAAAACAAAAAAACCCAGUGUUCAUCAUUCAUAUCUUCUAUGAUAUGUCUGUUUUAUAUUUCAGUCAUUCAAGGUUAUGAUCCAUUUCAAAUCAAUUAGUAAAUGACUUGAGGUAUUUCGAGGGUUUUUGCUACUUUAUUUUUCAUAUGGAUGUCAUCAUCUUAGAUCAUUUUGUUGGAAAACAUUAUCCUUUCAGUCUUGAAAUAUGUUGGUAAUUUUAUUGAAAAUAAAUUGACAGUACUGGUGUGGGUCUAUUUCUGAACUCUAUCUUCUGUGUCUAUCCAUUCAACAAUAUUGUGCUUUUGUUAGUAAAGCUCUAUAGUAAUUCUUAAAAUCAGAUUAAAAUCUUUCAAAUUUGUGGUUCUUUCCAAAGUUUGUUUUGGCUAUUUUAGGUAUUUUGAAUUUUCAUAUGAUUUUAGAAUCAUUUUGUCAGUUUCUACCAAAAUCACUGGGAAUUUGAUAGUUGUGUCAACCUACAGAAUUA